rnacentral:tRNA from 1 species
GUAGGUAUAGUUUAAACAAAACAUUAGAUUGUGGAUCCAAAAAUAGAGGCUAGACUCCUCUUACCUGCC